GGCCGGUUAGCUCAGUUGGUUAGAGCAUGGUGCUAAUAAUGCCAAGGUUGCAGGUUCAAUCCCCAUUCGGUCC
rnacentral:tRNA from 1 species